rnacentral:lncRNA from 1 species
GGACAGCAACAUUAUUGAAUUCCACUAGUGUGGGUAUGCAACACAGGAACCCGACAUUUGCCCACUUACAAAACAUUCACUUGCGCUAGGACUGAAAGGAUCGCGGGGAAGCAAUUCGAUGCGCGAGCACGGAGCCUGCCUACCCAAACGAUCGUGAUACGACUCAUGCACCACCACGUACAAUGAGCAACAAUUCCAAUCAGCGAACUACAACCCCCAACAAGCAUGUUAUGCCCGUCAAGCAUUGCCGAAACACCGAAUGAAACAGCUGCCCCCACCGC